AAGGACCACUGUACCAGCUGGAACACACCUGUUUCAUCUACCUUUGGAAGCUAAGCAGGUUCAGACCGGAUUACUAAUUGGUUGGAAGACCACCGGGAGAUACCAGAGGUGUUCAUGU
rnacentral:rRNA from 1 species